rnacentral:tRNA from 1 species
GUUUUCAUGGUGUAAUUUAGCACAUUAGAUUUUCAUUCUAAAGGAAUAAAACUAUUUAUUGGAAAUG